rnacentral:ncRNA from 2 species
AAAUGUAGCACAGUGUAAAGAAAGACAGCAACACAGGUAGAGGGACCCAGUGUGUGCUGGGAGGUGACAGUUUCCUGAGGAGAGGGGUGUAUCCAGGCUUACCUCCCAGCAGGAGUGGUACCAUAUGGUGUUUAUGUACUACUCUAUAGAACUCUUGGCUUGCACUUCUACAGCUCUGUACAUUUAUAAGAAUAAAUGCAAUCACACU